UCAUGUGCGAAUCCGGGACUGCGUGAUCUCUUAUGAUGGUGGAUUCCGCAUGGUCGCCUGUGAUGGUGGACUGUGCUGAUGGUGAGCAACUAAGAA